ACUCUCACUCGCUCAUUCACUGCAGCAUGAGCAUGCCGAGGACCGUGCCAGAUCCUGGGUUCCUCGGGGCAGUGAGGGGCCGGAUUAAUCUAUGCCUCCGUCCUUACCCGUGACCUGUGCACUUGAACAUCCUAUUCCAAGACAGAAAAGUACUCACGGGGUAGCUCCAGGGACCAGCAGCUCCGGCAGGGACCCCCAGGGAACAGGGCUGCCUGCCAACUGGGACCCCAAAGGCUGCUGGUGAGCCCAGGGCAAGGCCGCUGCACCUGCGCCAGGGAUGCUUGAAAUCCACCGAAAGGGGACAGCCACGUGCUUCCCCUCAGGGAUGGAGAGCCUGAGUUGGGUGUGGACCUCAACACUUCCUGAAAGUGAAAACUGAAAGUGUUUGGACAAACUGAGGAGAAAGUGAGCAACACACCAAAAAGAGCGGUGAUGGGGAGGGGAGAAAGAAGGGAGGAGAGAAGGAGUCGGGGGAGGAAGGGAGAAGAGGGAGGGAGGAGGAGGGGGAGAAGGAGAGGGAGGGAGAGGAGCGGGAGGGGGAAGAAGGGGGAAAGAAGAGGAGGGAGAGGGAGGAGAAGGAGGGGAAGGGGGGAGGGAGAAGGAGGAGAGAAGGAGAGGGAGUGGGGAGGAGAAGGAGGCGGGAGGAAGGCGAGGGGUGGGAGAUGGAAAGUGGAGAGGACUGGGGAGGGGAGAAGGAGGCAGAGUGGGAGGGGAGAACUUUCAAUAAAGUUGCACAAGCUCAUUGAAGGAGGAGAAGGAGGGGGAGGGAGGAGGAUGGGGAGGGAGAUGGAGCGGGGUCGAGAGACAGCAGUAGGAGAGAAAGCAGUCCAGAAGGAAGGGUCCUGGGGAAAUGGGCAUCACAGUGUCUCCUGGCAGGAGGGUGGUGGGUAAGGAAUUUCGACAGUGGACUUGGAUAGAUUGGGAAGGGCCUCAAGGUAAAGGGUGUUUUCCUACAUCCCGGAACAAGUAGUGAGUUGUAAGGACAGGGUUGAUAAACUCCCACUCAGGAAAGUUAGAGACAUGAAGAAGUAGGUUCCACUGUUUAAAAAAAAAAAAAAAAAGUCGUAUAUGUCUUAUUCAAGUCACCCUAUUUUAAUUUCAUAGUCAUCCAUUAUUCCGUCUCUGCUUUCCUCAGCCUUCAGCCAAGCGGUGACUCUCCCUCUCCCAGUUCCGUGGGUGGCUGGGGUCAUGGGGGUGUUCUGUGGCUUCCCUCCCUCUCUCCCACCUCUCUGUUUUUCAGAGUGUGGCCCUCUUUACCCCACUCCGUAAAAGACACUGUCAUACAUGAACGCCGUCUGUGUGUGGCCCUGGAGCCCCUCCAGCCAGAUACUAACAGCCACAGCCAGAAAAGGCAAAACAUGGAUUAUAAACUUCAGUGUUAAUGUUAGGACUAGCAGUGGCCAUGGUGCUUACGCUAUUUCUUCUGAAACAGGAACAGAAAGAAUAAAUGUUCUGGGUUUUUAUGAAAUGAGUCAUCAUUGGCAAAAAAUUUCUGAUCGUUGUAUUGCAAGUCAUUUGUAUUAACUUCUGAAAAUAUCUGUUUUCUUAAUACGUGAAAAAGCAUAAAAUCAAGAAUUUGCCAUUUAAAAAAUAGACAAUACUUUCCGCCCCCCCUUUAAAUCCUAUUUAUGGCAACAUUUAAAUGACUUACCACAAAUUGAAGUGUUAAGAAUUAUGAAAGAGCCAACUGGAGGCUCCCUUAUAUCACUGCUCCUAUUCUGAAAGAAAUGGAGCUCUUUCAGCCAUUUUCAGUAUUUCCAAGAGUUAAACAGAAAUCAUAAGUUCACUUUCAAUAAAGUUGCACAAGCUAAUUGAAAUGUCAAGCAUUGAUUCUGCCUGGGAUUGUAUUAAUGUAAUGUGGCAACACCGCUUAUCUCUUGCAGAUCAAGAUUUCUGUUAGAGAGAAAAGAGAAGAGAAGGGAAAAAGGAAGAAGAGAGGGAGAGAAAGAGAAAAGGAGCAAGAUUUAGCUCUAGACUUGAGCCAAUCUGUUACAUUAAGCAAUUUUAAUCUCAGUAGGUCUGUUUUCUCAUCUGUAAUUUGGGCACAAUCCUGACUUCAUGGUGCUCCAGUGAGCUUUGGGAAUAAUCCAUGUUAGCACUCAUAGCGUGGAAUCACCAACAUUUUUUGAGUGCUUACUAUGUCCUAGGCCCUGUUCUAGGUGCUUUUCAUGGAUUCAUUAAAAAAAUCAUGAAUUUGGCACACGUAUUAUCCUCCUCUUAGAAUGAGGAAAUUGAGAUACAGAGCAGUUUGUAAGAACUUAUGUGUAAGUCCACACAGCUAAUGAACUGGGGUUCUAACCAAGGUAAUCCGGUUAAGAGCCCAUGCUCUUUGCUGCAAAUCCAUGUCCUUAACCACACUGUACUGUUACCUUAAUAGGAGAAAUAUGAAGCUAUUGUGUGAUCAAUUCUGUCAGUACUAUUAUUCCAUGUCACUUUUAUUAAAAAUGAGAAAAAGAAAUUGCUAUCAAAUAAAUAUAUCAUGUUUAGUAGACAAAACUUUUCAAAUCUCAGGAUCUGUGGUGGUAAAAUGGUUGGUAAUCAUUGCACUGUAAUGGGGAAUUUGACAUUUUAUAGUCAGUCAUUAAUUUAGCUACUAGGAUGACUCUGAUAUAAAUGGACUUCCUAUCAUUCAUUCAUUUUUUCAAUCAUUCAUUCAUUCACCAACUACAUGUCAAGCACUGCACUAUAUGCUGUUAUGUGAACAGAUCGCUAUGUCAUCAAGUCAAAUACAGUGUUAUUCUGAAACCACAAUGUACUUGUAAUUUAUGUUUUAAUACUCGUUAAAUAACAAAACAUAGAUUCCUAAGUGUAUGCUCUGAAAUCACAAAUCCUGCAUUUGAUGUACUUUUCCAUUUGGUUUGUGUUACUAAUUUUUAAUUUACUUACGUGCCAUUACACAAAAAAAAUGUAUUUUCGCAAACACACAAAAGGUCUCAUGCUACCUCUGAGAAGAUUUAAUGAAUUAAUGUAUUGCAAACGAAUUAAUGUAAUACAAAUAAAUAAGAAAAAAUUAUCCCCAAAUAAUCCUUACAUACAAUGGAUUUUAAAACAAAAAAUACAUAAGGCAUAGGUCCUAAUACACAGUUCUUAUAAAUCAACUUGGAAAUUUUUUUUUUAAGUAAAAAAUUUCUAACUACAACCAAUUAGAAUGCAAUUAGCUGCAGUGGAUAGCACAUUUCCAAUUGUCCAACAGUAAGUUAUUCGGUUGACAGGUUAACCAUGCUCCUUGUGCCGCCAUUUUCUCAUUUUCUGCUUCCCUGAAUCUCUUCCUUUAGCCUAGUGCCUUUCAUGAAUGUGUAAAGAUAAGAGCCUGCAAGAACAGAGUUUUGAGGUGGAACUCGUUGAGACACUUUGGCUCCUCGUUAGCAGUUCUUACAGGAAAUAGCCCAGUGAGUUACUUGAGGUUUCACAUGCCAGAGUGAAGCCUCCUUUCAGUAGUUAGGCUGCCUCUGUAUGACAUCUUUACAGCUUGAAAAUGCACAUAUACACCAUGGAAUACUAUGCAGCCAUAAAAAAUGAUGAGUUCAUGUCCUUUGUAGGGACAUGGAUGAAAUUGGAAAUCAUCAUUCUCAGUAAACUACCACAGGGACAAAAAACCAAACACCGCAUGUUCUCACUCAUAGGUGGGAAUUGAACAAUGAGAACACAUGGACACAGGAAGGGGAACAUCACACUCUGGGGACUGUUGUGGGGUUGGGGGAGCGGGGAGGUAUAGCAUUAGGAGAUAUACCUAAUGCUAAAUGACGAGUUAAUGGGUGCAGCACACCAGCAUGGCACAUGUAUACAUAUGUAACAAACCUGCACGUUGUGCACAUGUACCCUAAAACUUAAAGUAUAAUAAUAAUAAUAAUAAUAAUAAUAAUAAUAAAAGAAAAUGAAUUCCUACCUCCAUACUUAACAGAUCAUGAACCUGGAGCCCAGGCAAGGUAGGUGAGUUGCUCAAGGUCAUUCAGUGAGAGAACACCACGGUCAAGGUGAGAACCUAGGCUUUGCUCUAAUGCCCCAACCUGUUCUUUCCCCCUCCUUUAUAAUAUUUAUGCAGACACAUCUUCCCAGGACAUUUUAUUUCUUCAGUAUUUCAUUGUAGUGAGGAAUUGAGUGACUUCACAUCAAUUAGCAUUAUUAGCAAACAAGAACGCUAAUAAUUACAAUAAAAUUCAUUUAUUUGAACAACAGUUUUGAUUUUUUUUUCCAUUGAUGGGGUAAACCAGUGUUUAUCAAUUAUUUGCAUAUAAAAUCCUUCCAAUUGCUUUAGCAAAUAAUGGCUGUCUAACACAAUGGAUAGCAAAAGUUCACUUUUUCCAAGAGCAUUUAGUAUAGAGCAAAUGACUUGAAUCUUUUUGGAAGGAGACAUAAAAUAGGAAAAGAAAGGUAGAAAAGAAAAAAGAGGGAGGAAGAGAAAAGAGAGGGAGGAAGAGAAAGAGGAGGUGCUAAUUUUAUCAUAAGGAUUCAGUUCUUCAAGGAAAUAAUAUUUGAAUUCACUGGAAAUGAUUUUUAUCAUAGAUUCUUAGUGUUUGUCAGGAAACUUAAUAAUAUGCAACCAUAAUCUCCAUUUACAUUUAUCUAAAAUGUGUUCUUUAAUAGAUUACAAAGGCAAACUCUCUAAACUGAUACACUUAUAAACUAUUAUUUAUAUGAGAUCAUCAGCCUCAGAACAAAAUUAGUUUCCCAAAGUUUGACCAUUAAUUUAUCUCUGCUUUAGGGAGCAUAGUGUAAAUAAUUCGAUAUUUUUAAAUUGCCUGCAAAAUUCUAGGAAGAUAAAUGAUUAAGAUAAUUUAAUGUAAUUUAUGUUUAGAAUUAUACAAUCAAAUAUAUCCUACAUUCAUAUAUUAUCUAGGGAUCUGGUGGUAAUACUUUUCUAACACAUUUUGUUCCAUUCAUCCUUGGCCUACUUUUAUUUGUUCAUUUUAAAAGUUUGAUCAUUCACUUAACUUUGAUCUAUAAUUUCUCUAAAUUUUAUACAUACAAAAUCUCUAAACGUCUUCAGUUGCCAGUGUAACAAACAUUUAUUCAA
rnacentral:lncRNA from 1 species